UUCCUAUUGGAGGCCUGUUUCAAACUCACACAGCCAUGUGCUCACUGUCUGCCAGGGGCUCGAGCAAUAGGAGGAAAGAGAGUAAGGGAGGAAGCCUCAGAGAGAUUAGCUCCUCCUUUUGCUCGUCCCUCCCCCAACCAGCAUUCGACCUUCAUGUGGUCUGCACUCCUAGACAAACAUGCUGCACUGUCAGUAAUAAGAGAGCGCUGACACAGUGGGCAGCUUAGCCAACCAGAAGAUGACUUUGGACAGCUAUGGUGCUUUCUGAGUGGGUGAUUGGUCGGGGUCAGUCCGGCUUUUGUUUAGCACAAAUUCCAGCCCAAACGAAUGACCCCCGUGGAGCAACUAGUAUUACAUCAGAGUGCCCUUGCACCCACGUCUGCCUUGUACCCUGACUGGAACUAAAUGUUCGCUUCUUGAACAAUAAGAACAUUUCAGACUGAUGACAUUCAAGCUAAUUAUUCUGGACUCAGUAAAUUAAAAUGUUUUUGCACAUUUUUCUGAAAGUGUAAUUAAGGUUAUGGUUGUGUAACAAAGACAUUUUAACCAUGGACUGUCCCCAAAAUAUUUCUGUUCAACUUGACUGAUUGGUACAGGAAAGUUAUUAUUGCUCUUAUCUGUAUUAUUGUUUUUAAAUGAGCCUUUGUCAUGUUUUAAAGAAGGUGAAUGUCA